rnacentral:misc_RNA from 1 species
UUCUCUGACAGUGAGAGAGAAGAGUCUGAAUAUGAAAGUGAUGGGGUGGAAUUCGAGAGGUCUCCCACCUGGAAAAGGGCUGAGGAGCCAGAGCAGGAUUAUGAAGAAGAGGAAGAAGAGGAGGAAGAACGCUAUGAAGAAGAGGCAGAAGUGGAUGGAGCAUCAGAAGAGGAAGAGGAGGCUGAGGAGCCAAAGCAAAAGUCCAAGGAGGUUGGAGGCAGUCACAAACGAGCAGGGAUUGAAUCAGAUGAGGAAUCCCCUCCAAGAAAGAUUUCAACCCACCGAAGAAUGGCAGUUGUUUAUGACAGUGAUGAGGAAUGAAUGCUUCCUUGAGUUGAUUUUAGUAAAAUUUUAUAUUUUCGUCCAUGAUUAUUGUUUAUAAUGUUUUGAAAUUUAUAUAUAUUUGUAUUGACUUUUUCAAUAUUAGUCCAUGGAGAUGUUUAAUUGCGACAAAAAUCAACUCAAGGAAGCAUUCAUUCCU